rnacentral:lncRNA from 1 species
GUCUUGGAUCUUCUCUCCAUACUACAAAAACCCUAAGUAAUGUUUGCUGUGAAAAGUAGAAAAGUAUGAAAGCAUGUGUUGCCUAGAACAAUGGUAGAGCACAAAAAUAUUAGGUUAAAAUUAGCCAGGGGUAUUUCUGUAAAUGUGUGUGACUUGAGAUUUAAGUCGGUUGAUAACCUAGUAGGGUCUUGCGCGCUUCGCUGUCGAUCGGCGGUACAUGAUGUGCAUCGAUCGAUGUUAGUCUCUGAAUGUCAACCUCUUGACUGGUUCAAUGGCAGCUACGGGGUUCCUCUCAUUUUAUCUCUAAAAUACACAAAAAUCACCACU